GUGCUCACUUUGGCAACACAUAUACUAAAAUUGGAACAAGAAUGAGAAGAUUAGCACAGCCCCUGUGCAAGGAUCACAUGCAAAUUUGUGAAGCGUUCUGUAUUUUU